CCUGUCUGCAUGUGACCACAGUGUUUAUAUAGCCCGACACAGCCACGCUGGCAGCUCUCAUUGGACUGGGUAUUAUCGCCAUGUCUGAUUGACGGGUUGAUAUCACGAAAUCAGCCUAUUGACAAUUUGCACAUCAGGGUAUCGAAGCUCAUUUUCAUGCCAUUUUCUCCUUGUUUUGACCAAUAGGAAUACUGGAAAUGCGGGUAGAGAGCAGAUAUAAAAAGUGUAUAAAGGAGGUUGGGGCAUUCCUCUGGAUCCCUAUUCUCGGAACCGGCGUGACGUCACACGGCCUAGUUACCGAUCAUCCGGGUCUUUGGGGGUGAAGCAAAGCCUUAGAGCACUGGUUAGCAGACUACGAUUUGUCAAAACUCUCUUACAUACACGAUGAUGUUUAUGCUCGAGGGGUAUCUACUAUGGAUACUAGCAGUAAUCUACUAGCCGGACGUCCAUAUGGUGGAGUGGCUAUUCUAUGGAGGAAGACACUAGGCAGUUUAGUUAAUGUGUGUACAUAUGACGAUAGUAGAAUAAUAGGAUUAGAAUUAAAUUGUUCAUCAUC